UACUAAUUCUUCUAAUUUGUUUUAUUCGUUGAUUUGGCUAAAAGUUAUUGGCACAUGCUCUGGAAAUCUACAGUGCUUGGGACGCAAUCUAAUUGAUUACAUACUCUCCAAAUUUUGUGUAGGAUUGCAGAUAAAUCCCAAAUAUACACUCAACAUGCUUACAUGAGACCUCUCGGAGUGGCUGCCAUGAUAUUGGGUAUUGAUGAAGAAAAUGGACCUCAACUAUUCAAAUGUGAUCCAGCUGGUCAUUUUUUUUUCACAAGGCCACAAGUGCUGGUUUGAAAGAGCAAUAAGCAAUUAACUUUUUAGAGAAGAAGAUGAAGAAUGGUCCUUCAUUCUCAUAUGACGAAACCGUGCAGGACGACACAGAUUGGUCUUCAGGUCAUAUACCGAUGGAGAUGAAGCAACCCCCCCUUUCGAACACCCCCCCAAAACACGGCCUUCCAUCAUGGUUUCAAAUGACUGUUC